rnacentral:rRNA from 1 species
GACGAACGCUGGCGGCGUGCUUAACACAUGCAAGUCGAACGGAAAGGCCCUGCUUUUGUGGGGUGCUCGAGUGGCGAACGGGUGAGUAACACGUGAGUAACCUGCCCUUGACUUUGGGAUAACUUCAGGAAACUGGGGCUAAUACCGGAUAGGAGCUCCUGCUGCAUGGUGGGGGUUGGAAAGUUUCGGCGGUUGGGGAUGGACUCGCGGCUUAUCAGCUUGUUGGUGGGGUAGUGGCUUACCAAGGCUUUGACGGGUAGCCGGCCUGAGAGGGUGACCGGCCACAUUGGGACUGAGAUACGGCCCAGACUCCUACGGGAGGCAGCAGUGGGGAAUAUUGCACAAUGGGCGGAAGCCUGAUGCAGCAACGCCGCGUGUGGGAUGACGGCCUUCGGGUUGUAAACCGCUUUCGCCUGUGACGAAGCGUGAGUGACGGUAAUGGGUAAAGAAGCACCGGCUAACUACG